AAAUCCCUUAUUACAUGUCAUUUUUUGCUUCUGAAAAAAUUCAGUGGGGACUGCAUACUGAAAGUUCCUUACAGCGUGCAUAUAACACCAAACAAUCUUCUUCCAAAGAUUAAAGCUUUACUAAAUGAUAAAAUCGGGAUUAUUUCAAAGCUAGUUAUUGUCCUUUUAGUUGAGCAAAAUAAUGGACCAGGAUACCAGAUGGGCCCUUACAUCUGUCGCCUUCCUCGACAUGGGGAAAUUCAUAGU